rnacentral:rRNA from 1 species
AAAUUGAAGAGUUUGAUCAUGGCUCAGAUUGAACGCUGGCGGCAGGCCUAACACAUGCAAGUCGAACGGUAACAGGAAGCAGCUUGCUGCUUCGCUGACGAGUGGCGGACGGGUGAGUAAUGUCUGGGAAACUGCCUGAUGGAGGGGGAUAACUACUGGAAACGGUGGCUAAUACCGCAUAACGUCGCAAGACCAAAGAGGGGGACCUUCGGGCCUCUUGCCAUCAGAUGUGCCCAGAUGGGAUUAGCUAGUUGGUGAGGUAACGGCUCACCAAGGCGACGAUCCCUAGCUGGU